rnacentral:misc_RNA from 1 species
CGCACAUUGCGCCCGCGAGUAUUCUCGCGGGCAUGCCUGUUCGAGCGUCAUUUCAACCCUCAAGCCCCCGGGCUUGGUGUUGGGGAUCGGCGAACCGCCCUCCGGGGCGGCGCCGGCCCCGAAAUCCAUUGGCGGUCUCGCCUGCAGCCUCCUCUGCGUAGUAGUAACAUCUCGCACCGGAGCUCGGGCGCGGCCACGCCGUAAAACACCCCAAUUCUGAAUGGUUGACCUCGGAUCAGGUAGGAAUACCCGCUGAACUUAA